rnacentral:rRNA from 1 species
CGUCUAUAUACGUAUAGCAUAUCAAUAAGCGGAGGAAAAGAAACUAACUAGGAUUCCCUCAGUAACGGCGAGUGAAGCGGGAAGAGCUCAAAUUUGAAAUCUUCAAGGUUCUACCUUGACGAAUUGUAGUUUAAAGAAGUGUUUUCUGUUGGAGUUUUGGUAAAAGUUCUUUGGAAUAGGACAUCAUAGAGGGUGAGAAUCCCGUAUUUGACCAUUAUUUCCAACUUUGUGAUACACUUUCAAAGAGUCGGAUUGUUUGGGAAUGCAGUCCAAAAUGGGUGGUAAAUUUCAUCUAAAGCUAAAUACUGGCGAGAGACCGAUAGCGAACAAGUACCGUGAGGGAAAGAUGAAAAGAACUUUGAAAAGAGAGUUAAACAGUACGUGAAAUUGUCAAAAGGGAAGCGUUUGACACCAGUGUUGUUUUCUCGAAAAUCAAUUAAAAAUGAUAGGAUUUUGUGUUGUAUUGACUUUAUCAGCUUUCUGCACUUUUUUCCUGUCUUUUUUAAUGCACUUUUCGUUUAACAAGUCAACAUCAAUUUCUUUUGUUGUAAAAGGGUCAUUGGAAGGUGGCUUUCAUUUCGGUGAAAGUGUUUAUAGCCUUUGACUUCUGCAAUCGGAGAGAUUGAGGUCUGCAGCGUAGAUCCUUCGGGGUUAGAUACAUUUGUGCUAAGCUAUAGCCUUUCAUAGACAACUUGUUGACUAUGAUCAGUCAUGUAGCUUACUCGCUUAUGCUAUUUUACCUACGCUUAGGAUGUUGAUCUGUAGUGCGUGCGC